rnacentral:rRNA from 1 species
GAUGAACGCUGGCGGCGUGCUUAACACAUGCAAGUCGAACGGAAAGGCACUGCUUUUGUGGGGUGCUCGAUUGGCGAACGGGUGAGUAACACGUGAGUAACCUGCUCUUGACUUUGGGAUAACUUCAGGAAACUGGGGCUAAUACCGGAUAGGAGCUCCUGCUGCAUGGUGGGGGUUGGAAAGUCUCGGCGGUUGGGGAUGGACUCGCGGCUUAUCAGCUUGUUGGUGGGGUAGUGGCUUACCAAGGCUUUGACGGGUAGCCGGCCUGAGAGGGUGACCGGCCACAUUGGGACUGAGGUACGGACCAGACUCCUACGGGAGGCAGCAGUGGGGAAUAUUGCACAAUGGGCGGAAGCCUGAUGCAGCAACGCCGCGUGCGGGAUGACGGCCUUCGGGUUGUAAACCGCUUUCGCCUGUGACGAAGCGUGAGUGACGGUAAUGGGUAAAGAAGCACCGGCUAACUACGUG